UGGGGGGACAAGGCUCACAAGCCCAAAUACAUAAUUUACUGCUUAACUCCACCCAAACCCAUACGAUAAAGACCCAAAGCUUAUAUAUUUUGGAGCCCUAGGCUGAAACAGGUUGACCCGACAAAUCACCUCCUUGACUGCCACCAUGGAUAACUCCUUCCACCAGUUACUCAACCGAAGGAAACUACCUUAAGCCAAAGGAAGUUGCAACAACAGAAGAAAGCUCAAAAAGGACCAUCACAACAGGAGUCUCAGUCCUCAUCCAUACACAAUAAACUCCCCCAACUAACACAGAAUUAGAACAGGGGAGUUGAGAAGUAAAC
rnacentral:misc_RNA from 1 species